AGAUAGUCUGGCCUGCUCACUGACAUAUAGAGUUUAAGAGCCGCGGUAUUUUGACCGUGCAAAGGUAGCAUAAUCAUUAGUUUCUUAAUUAGGAACUUGUAUGAAUGGUCGGACAAAAGAAAAGCUGUCUCUGUUGUAAAAAUAGAAAUUAACUUUUAAGUGAAAAGGCUUAAAUUUUUCAAGGGGACGAUAAGACCCUAUAAAGCUUUAUAUUUCGUUUAAAUUUUAUUGAAUUAUAUAAAUAAAAAUUUAAUUUAAUCAUUAUAUUGUGUUGGGGCGACAUAGGUAUAAUUUAUAUUAACUGCUUGAUAAGAAAACAAAUAAUAAAUGAUUUAUAAAAAUGAUCCUUUUUAAAGAUUUAAGAUUAAGUUACUUUAGGGAUAACAGCGUUAUUUUUUUUGAGAGUUCAUAUCGAAAAAAAAGUUUGCGACCUCGAUGUUGAAUUAAAAUAUCUUUAUAGUGUAGCCGUUAUAAAAGAAGGUCUGUUCGACA
rnacentral:rRNA from 1 species